AGGGCUACAGCUCAGCGGUAGAGCACCUCGUUUGAUGACCGAGAAUGUCUACGGUUCGAACCCGUGUAGUCCCA
rnacentral:tRNA from 1 species